AAUAGAUACCCCGGUAGUCCACGCCGUAAACGAUGAGUGCUAAGUGUUAGGGGGUUUCCGCCCCUUAGUGCUGCAGCUAACGCAUUAAGCACUCCGCCUGGGGAGUACGGUCGCAAGACUGAAACUCAAAGGAAUUGACGGGGGCCCGCACAAGCGGUGGAGCAUGUGGUUUAAUUCGAAGCAACGCGAAGAACCUUACCAGGUCUUGACAUCCCACUGACCGCUAUGGAGACAUAGUUUUCCCUUCGGGGACAGUGGUGACAGGUGGUGCAUGGUUGUCGUCAGCUCGUGUCGUGAGAUGUUGGGUUAAGUCCCGCAACGAGCGCAACCCUUGAUCUUAGUUGCCAUCAUUUAGUUGGGCACUCUAAGGUGACUGCCGGUGACAAACCGGAGGAAGGUGGGGAUGACGUCAAAUCAUCAUGCCCCUUAUGACCUGGGCUACACACGUGCUACAAUGGACGGUACAAACGGUUGCCAACCCGCGAGGGGAGCUAAUCCGAUAAAACCGUUCUCAGUUCGGAUUGUAGGCUGCAACUCGCCUAC
rnacentral:rRNA from 1 species